UACGGGGGGAGCAAGCGUUGUUCGGAUUUACUGGGCGUAAAGGGCGCGUAGGCGGCGUAACAAGUCACUUGUGAAAUCUCCGGGCUUAACCCGGAGCGGCCAAGUGAUACUGUUGUGCUAGAGUGCGGAAGGGGCUACUGGAAUUCUCGGUGUAGCGGUGAAAUGCGUAGAUAUCGAGAGGAACACCUGAGGUGAAGACGGGUUGCUGGGCUGACACUGACGCUGAGGCGCGAAAGCUAGGGUAGCAAACGGG
rnacentral:rRNA from 1 species